rnacentral:rRNA from 1 species
UACGAAGGGGGCGAGCGUUGUUCGGAUUUACUGGGCGUAAAGGGCGCGCAGGCGGCUCAUUUUGUCAGGCGUGAAAGCCCCGGGCUUAACCUGGGAACUGCGUUUGAUACGGAUGGGCUAGAGUUCGGGAGAGGAGAGUGGAAUUCCCGGUGUAGCGGUGGAAUGCGUAGAUAUCGGGAAGAACACCGGUGGCGAAGGCGGCUCGCUGGGCCGUUGCUGACGCUGAGGCGCGAAAGCGUGGGGAGCAAACAGG